GAGGAACAUCAGCUGAUUUUCCCCCUCCCUGGGCUCAUUGUGGCACAGUAGCUCCUGCCACUGCUCCAACUGAAAUAAAGUUGCUGGUGUGGAAUGCCAAACCCUGAUGAGCCACGUUAGCAUCUAAAUCCUGGAACCUGCAUCAACCAUUCUUGUCUGUGCUCGAUCCAUGUCUCCAAAGUGGCCAUAACAAGGAAAAGAGGGAGAAAGGAGCCCACAGUUCUCAGCAGGCAGGAGCCCCUCCCCCACCCUCC